rnacentral:lncRNA from 1 species
UUUGAGGGGCUCUAAGACUUCCCUGAACAACAACCUGUUAGGGGGGUAUCGAAUGGGAAUUUUGGUAACUAGGAUAUCAUUUACUUACUAAUGUUUAACACUGCCCAUUCAUUCAGUCUUAGUUUUUCUCUUCCCGUCACCUCUCAGUGUGUAUACACAAAUUAAGUUUUGUUUGCUUGUUUUUGUUUGUGUGUGUAUUUUUUUUUGUUGUUGUUGUUGUUGUUGUAUUUGAGAUUGGGUUUCAUAGAGCUCAGAAUCGUUUUGAACUCUGUAGCCAAGGGUGACUUUGCCCUCCUAAUCUUCUGCCCCCACCUCCCACCUCCUUAGUGUUAGAAUUACAAAUAUACACCACUGCACUUGGUUUAUGAGGUCCUGAAAAACUGAACCUUGUGUGUGCUAAGCCCUCUACCCACCAAACUACAGCCUCAACUUUUUUUGUUUUUUUAAUUAUUAGUUUACAAAGUAGUGGCACCCCCGCCCCCAACACAGGGUAGCCUGUAUCACUGACUGUCCUGGGACUCUCAGUUCUGCCUCCACAUGCUGGAGUUAAAAGCAUGUACCACAAUGCCCAGCCAGAGAAGAGAGUUUAAAGGUCUUUGGAUUCUAGCUAAGCACUGGCUCACCACAAGGUUUUGGAGUGACAGGUUCAGUUAUAUUGCUGUUGCCUUGAUCUAGAAUUUACCAUUUCUUUUUAUACACACACACACCUCUCCCUUAUACUUCAGGCAUGUACAGUAAUGCUCAAGUGGCUUAUAGUGGAUUCUUCCUUAUAACCAUAGUGUGCAAAUGUUUUAUGUUUUUAAAGAUUUGUUUAUUUUAUGUAUAUAAGUACACUGUAGCUGUACAGAUGGUUGCGAGCCACCAUGUUGUUUCUGGAAUUUGAACUCAGGACCUUCAGAAGAGCAGUCGGGUUUUUUAACCACUGAACCAUCUCUCCAGCCUGUGUGCAAAUGUUAAAAUCAAGAAAUUAAAUGCUAGUAUCCUCAUCUAAUUCUUUUAAACUUCAAGUUGUUGCUUCAAGUUGUUGGAGUAAUGCUCUUUUAGAAUCAUACAUUUCAUGUAGUGGUUCUUUGAAAUAACCCCCUGAAUUUCCUCAUUUGUUCUGGGAUUCACCCAGGGCCUUGGAUGUGGUAACUGAAUGCUCUGCUGCUGAGCUACACUCAGAUUUUUAUAGUACUUCCACUUACUCCAGAGUAUGGAUAUGAUUUUGUGUAUGCAUUCAUGAAGUGUGUAUGUGUGCAUGUGUGGUAGACAAAAGACUGUUCUCACUUUUCACCUUUUUUUGAAACCCAGUCUCUUCAUUUUUCACUCCUGUGUGCCCCAGGCUAGCUGUCCUGUGCGCUUCCAUGAAUACUCCUUCAUCCAUUUUCCAACUUACUGUUAGAACAAUAGGAUUACAGGCACAUGCCAUCACACCCAUCCUUACUUUCUUCUAGAGAUGUGAACUCAGGUCUGCAUGGUUGCAGGGUAAGCCCUUGACCCACUGAGCUAUCUUUCCAGGCCAGUAGCAGGUUUUUGAUAGGAAAAGCACAUGGCCAUGUGUGGCAGCACAUGCCUUAAUCCAGUCAGUACUCAGAAGGCCGAAGCAGGCAGAUCUCUGAGUUACACUCUAGUCUGGACUACAAAGCUGGAUCCAGGACAGCCAGGGCUACACAGAGAAAGAAACCCUGUUUCGGAGGAAGAGAAAAGGGGAAGCACAGAAGUGAUGUGUUUUUAUUUUCCAGUUAUGGUUUAAAAUUUGGUGGAAGUAUUGUAUUUGAACCUUGACACACGUUAAGUUGCAGAAGGCUUUCUGGAUGGUACACGUGCAGUCUUUUCCAUUGUUGAUAUUAUGCUCUCUGAUCACUUAGUUGUGUUGGUGAUGGCCAGGCCUUUUCAACAGGUCUGUCCUGGCUGUGAAUUACCCCCACAUAAUAAUACUAAGACUGAAGAACUCAAGAGCCAGGUGUAGAAGAGGGCUUGCAUAUGUGAACGAAAAAAAUAAGCUAAAGCAAUAUGCCAAGGACUUUCUUCUAUUUUAUCGGUGCAUUGUGCCCGUGAACAACCUUAAGAAUGUUUGCUUAUCUCUGGCUAUUUAUUUUUCUAAAACAGCAAGCUUGGGCAACUGAUGAUGUAGCGCAGAUUUAUGAUAAGUGUAUUACAGAACUGGAGCAGCACCUACACGCCAUUCCACCCACUCUGGCCAUGAAUCCUCAAGCCCAGGCUCUCCGAAGUCUUUUAGAGGUUGUAGUGUUGUCUCGGAAUUCUCGGGAUGCGAUAGCUGCUCUUGGAUUACUACAGAAGGUUGGUUCUUAAGCUUGUAAUAGGAACUUGGUUUAUGGACUUCAGACUGUAACUGAAUCUAUAUAUUUAGAACUGAGUUUUAAAAAUUGAUACAAACC